CAUCUCUGAUUCCAGUGCAUUUAAUCGAGAAAAUCCUUCGCCUUUUACUAAAGAUUUCCGUGCACUGGAGCAGUUAUGAGUACUUGCCAUUUUUUGCAAUCCCGUCGAAAGAGCGGGAU
rnacentral:snRNA from 1 species